UGCCCUACUCCUUGAGCCACAGGCACCGCCCAAUAACUUUGCUUGCAUAAGAAUGUUUUCACAUGAGGCACAGUCUGUGACUGAGUCACUCGUGUGGUGAGACGUGCACGGCCUUUAUCUGUUAGCACCUGAUGUUCUUUGAGUAUAGUCCACAGAGAAGGUGACCAAAUGUGUUAGUUUGCCCAGGACCUUAGGUCUUUAUUAUCCAGUGAAAUUAUAACAGCAACCACCCAUCACUCACAACAAUGUCCUGGGCCAGACGAAAAAUUAUAGGGUCCCUCAACCUUUUGUGCUGCCAGCUUUUGUGUAUCUUUUUAAACCCUGAGUCCGAGCUAGAAGCUAAAUGAUCAUCUUUUCAAUCCCCUCUUUUCAUAGAUUAGGGAGCAAGAGACCCUCCCCAGGGCCUUGCUGGAGUUCACAGGGCUGGCUGGAGAAAGAAGACCCGGCCAAGGCUUUCGGGUUAGACGUCUGCUGGUGACGUCGGCUUCUCUGUUUCCUGAAGGGUUAUUCCCAGUAACCAAGAUACGCGAUGAAUGUUUCCACUGAGGAAUGAAUGGAGAAAGAAAAUGUGGUAUCCAUACAAGAGAAUAUUAUCCAGCCUGAGAAAAAGAAACAAAUCUUGGCCUUCGCAACAACGCGGUGAACCUGGAGGAAAUUUCUUGCUGUGUUUCGUGGGCCAGAGUGUGAUGGUGUCAUCAUAGCUCACUGCAGCCUCCAACUCCCCGUCUCAAGCAAUCCUCCCACCUCAGCCACCUGAGUAGCUAGGACUACAGGUGAGAGAAGCAACUCGAGAGUGAGUCAGAGGCAGAACUCGCCUGCGGUUUCAUUCUGGGACAGCUGAUGUCCACGGGCAGACGAGAGCCCCAGAUGGUUUUCAGUCUGGGACGUCAGGGUAUCUGCUCCAUGCCAACAACGUUAGGAAAGAUUCAAGUCUAGCAAAUCCCGGGCAGCAGUGAUUAUUAACAGAAAACGUAUCUUUAAACAAAAAGCAAGCAAGCUUGAUAAAACUGCAAGUAAGAAGCUCUUCGCACUGUGGGUAGAAAGUGGAGAGAAGGUUCAAUUACUGCUCGGGGCAAUCAGCUGCCAAGUAACACCAAGUAGUCUGCUAGUCUGCUCUCGUGAACUGCGGUGGCAUUGUUAUUUCUUUUCUUACUAAAUAGUACAUUUGACUUUUUAAGUUAUCAAAGCUGUUUGUGGAAGUGGACAAAGUGGAUUGGGUAAGGUUAUGGGUAAGUGAUGUGCAUUGGGUGGUGCAGGGACCUGGGAACUCUCAAGUUUUCAAGUUCACCUGAAAGUCCCCCCACAGUAGGUUUUUGAAGUCCAAUAUCAGAAAGAGAACAUGAAAAUCACUGAAGAAGAACUGAUUCAUUCAGUCAGCUGGGACUUAGAGCCAGACAGACCAGAAAUUUGAAUUUUGACUUUGCCCCAAAUAGCAGAAUGACUUGGAGCAAAGGCCCUUUGCCUUUGUUUGCUCAUCUUUUAAAUGGGAUUAUGGCUAACUUCUCAUGGAUUGUGUGGCGCGGAAGAGAUUCACCAUGCUGAAAGGUAGCCGGCAUUAUGCAGGAACUCAGUGGAUUCCCACUCUGUAAGGAAUUGUGGGGGAAGAAAGGGAAUGAAAGGCUUAGAGGAAAAUAAGAAACACACAUGUAUGUGCUAACAGGAGAGGAACAAGCAAAUGAGCAGAUAACAUGUGUUGAAACGGCCCCCCACACCCACAUGUUGUGCCCUUCUUUGCCAGUGGCCUCUUUUUUCUUCCUCGAAGAACAAAUAUUGACAUGUUUAGGAGGUGUGUCCCGAACCCCUGGAAUCCUUGCUCUACGGAUGCUGGCAGACUUGAUCCUAGAGACAAAUGCAUCUCAGUAAUAGAAAAUGUUUGGUUACUUAAGUGAAUCGUCCGAAAACACACCGCAAGCCUUCCUCAACAUAGCUGCACAAUUCUUAAUUUUAACUCUGUCAUGAAUAGCUUUAAAAAUGGCCUUUAUUGAAUCUGAAAUUGGUAGAUGCUUACCAAAGAAAAUUAAAAAAAAAUACAUUUAACUAAAAAGAACAAAACAAAACCCGUCUAUACCCAUCCCCUAAUUUAAUCACUGCUAACGUCUUGAUAUAUUUCUUCCCAUCUAUCGUACUUUCAUGUGGGCAUGGUUGAGAUUGUACUGGAUAAUUCACCCCACUUUUGUCCUUUAAUGGCAUA